rnacentral:lncRNA from 1 species
CAGUCUUCACUUCUGCUCCAGUUUCUUCUCAAAAUAGAGAUGCUGGACAACGCCAAGGUUUCCAUUUGUAUCUUGAGUACCUUGCCCUACUCUCUCCCAGCUACUCCCAGUUACUUGGGAAGCGCGCCUAGAGAUGAAUAGUACCGACUGCACACCUCAAGCGCUUACCUUGUUAAGUCCACGUCCCCUUGUAAUAGCCUUGGGCUGUGAUGCAUGGUAGAAUUCUUUGGUGAUGACAGGGUCUCACUGUGUAGUGAGCUAGCACAGACUAGCCUGGAACUUGGCAAUGCCUCGGUUUCAGGUCUGAGACACCAUAUCAGGCUGGAUAAAGUGUAUUCUUUCUAUUUCUUGCAGCUUGUGGGCUUAUUGCUCAUUGGCGUAGCUGCCUGGGGCAAGGGCCUCGGUGUGGUGUCCAGCAUUCACAUCAUUGGAGGAGUCAUUGCUGUGGGAGUCUUCCUUCUCCUCAUUGCAGUGGCUGGACUGGUGGGUGCCGUGAACCACCAUCAAGUGCUGCUUUUCUUUGUAUCCUGACCUAAGUGAUUGGGAUUGGGGGCUGAGCAGGCUUUUCCUGGGCAGGGGACCUCAGACAUGUCUCUUCGUUCUUAUUCUGUAAUCCCCAGAAGUUGAUGAUCCCUCCCACCCCCAACUUGAUAAAGGUGCAGUUUUGGGAACAGAGAAGGGCCUUGAACUCUGCCCCCUUGCCUGCCACAUUGCAGUUAGAAUUACAGUGGUGAGAUUUUAAAGACAAAAACCGGGAUCAUGCUGUGUGGUAGUCCUAGCUUGGAACUCACGCUAGGCUGGCCUCCAUACAGGUUUGCUUGCCUGUCUCUCCCUGAAUGAGGUAUUUUAAAUGGAAACCAGAUUCUUUUGCCAUAACUUCUUCUCAGUAUAUGAUCAUCCUGGGUUUGGUCUUCAUCUUCCAGUUUGGAAUCUCUUGCUCAUGUCUGGCUAUUAACAGAAACACACAGGUAAGGGUAAGCCCUUUCAGUACUUGCUUGCUUUCCCCACCUUUUAAACCUUAGUCUGACCCCCUCAUCCUGUCCUGCUCAG